AUGGCGUUUUUAAGAAUGGUCCUGAUAGAGAUUGGUUUUUGUUCCCAAAGUUUCACCCCAACUCCAAAUCGAGUUUUUCAUGAUUUUCAAGUUGGACUCCCACUGAUUAUUGAUAUCACUCAUAUUGGUACUGUGGCGGUCAGCUUUGUAGAGUUUUCUCAUUAUCUUCUUGUCCCAGUUCUCAUUAUUAGGGGUAAUUUUUCUUUUCCCCUUAUUGUUGUCAUCCUCUUUUUUUGUUCUUCCAAUUGUUGGAAUUGUUGUUUAUAUCAUUUCUUUAGCUAUCUUUAG